ACCUGCCCAUUGGAAUCUAAAAGGCCGCGGUAUUAUGACCGUGCUAAGGUAGCAUAAUCAUUAGUCUUUUAAUUGGAGGCUGGUAUGAAUGGUUGGACAAGAAAUAAGCUGUCUUAAAUAAAAAUAUUGAAUUUAACUUUUAAGUGAAAAGGCUUAAAUUUUCUAAGGGGACGAUAAGACCCUAUAAAACUUUAUAUUUUAAAAUAAUAAUUAAUUUUUAUAUAGAAGAUUUAUUUUUAAAUAUUUUAUUGGGGUGAUAAAGAUAAAAUGUGAGAUAACUGUCUUUUUUUUUUUACAAUUAAUAUUUGAGUAAAAGAUCUUAACAAAGGAAAUAAAAGAUUAAGUUACUUUAGGGAUAACAGCGUAAUUUUCUUUAAGAGUUCUUAUCGACAAGAAAGUUUGCGACCUCGAUGUUGAAUUAAAAGUUCUUUAUAGAGUAGAUAUUAUAAUAGAGGGUCUGUUCGACCCUUAAAAUUUUACGUG
rnacentral:rRNA from 1 species